UCUUUUUAAAAAUCUCCUCAAAUAAUACAUCUUUCAGUCAGCACAGUUACAUCUGCAUAUACUUUAACUGUUCCACAGUGUUGAAAACGCACGGAUAUUUGACUGGGUGCCAAAACUUCAACUGCUGCAGAAUGAGCUGCAUUAAAAGCUUUUAGCGUGUUUCCUGAAUACGCGAUGUGUUUUUUUGGGUACUUUCCCACCCCUCUUUUCUCUUAAAUCCUACUAAACGCAUUAGAAGGGACUUGUAAGAAGUUCAGAACAGUAUGAAGUCACUUAAAUACUACAGGGAGGAUGAAAGCUCAUUUGGCAAGCAGAUAGUCUUUGUUGGAUUUCUCAGCAAUUAGCUUUGGCACAGAACAUUACACUUUAUUGUAUGAAGGCAAGUAGAGCUAAACAGGGCACCCCUAGGUCUUCAGAACAAACAGAGGACCAAUUUGCCAUUUUGUUCCUCUGUAUAUAUCCAAGAGGAUCUUUGCUUGAUCCAAGGAAAGAGAAGCAGAAGGAAAAUAACUGCGAACACCUGCACAAGAGCUUAUGCAAGAGUUUGCACAGUGUUGACAACAAGUAGAGCCUCUCACUGUUCUCAUGAUUCUGUCUCUGGAAAUGGUAAAACAUGUUUGGGUGUUGGACAUCUUUUCCAAAUGUAGUAAAUGCCUUUUGUGCAUAGAAUCACACCUUUGGAUUUUGGGCAUUGUUGUGAGCAGUGGCAGUAAGGUUAUGAGCAUGCUUGCUGUCAUCUUCGAAUGUUAUGUGCAAGUUGAGUAAUGAACAUGAAAGAAAAUAGAUGCAUUGUUUUUCCUGCCCAGCUUGGCUCUGAAAAGCAUCCCCAUUGUGUGCAUUAAAAAUGUAGGCAGGUAUGUUUUCACAUGGGAAUACAGUGGGCAGGUAGAACAAUCUGAGAAUUAUAUGAAAAAGUAUGCAAAAAGAAACACACUGUUUUUAUACUGUCAAAUUCAUAAUUUUGAAUUAGUGUUUCCAAAUCUUGCUUUUUCAUUAUAUAACCUAAUAGUAUGAUUAGUAUCAAUUGGAAACAUUAUUACAGCUUUUCAGUACUUUCACUGUACUUAUAAGUUAUGUGUAAUUACAUUUUUGAAUAAGAGGGCAGAACAAAUUUACAUUGAUAUUAAUAAUGAUUUUACAAAUACAGCAUUUUGCCAUUUACUUUUUUGCAGCUUUCCUCCUUUUACUUGCUUUCCUUCUGCUUGUGUUGAAUAUAAUUUCUAUACUGAAUUAAAUUUCUUUAAAAACAGCAAAACACUGAUUUUUAAAGUAAUUAUAUUUAGCAUAGAAAUAUAUUUGAAAAUAGAGCAGCUUAGAGUAUUUAAACAAAAAACAUGUAUACGUUUUCUUCUUUUCUUUUCAACCUCUCUCAUGCAGUAGGAUAAAUCAUUAAAAACUUGCAUUGUGUGAGGUGUGGGCUCAUUCUGACUCAAUGAAAACUUCAGUGUAUUCUGAAUUAGCUCGGUUUAGAGUUAUGGUAAGGAUAUAAUGUAGACUUUUUGUAUUUCCAAAUCUGCAUAGGGAUUGUACUAUUCUUCCAUGAAGGAGAACAGUGCUUUCCCAUGCAAAAAGCACAUUAUUGAAAAUGAGAGCCAUCAUUUAUAUUGUUUCAUCUUGGCAUUGUAUUAUGGGUCAUUAAAAACAACAAAAUUAUAUUAACUGGGACAAAAACAUAUGUCUGUUGCAGAAAGCAGUACAUUUGUUGGGACCUUCUUUUCUUUGCCAUUUUAAAAAAUGUAUAUGCUGAUUAGAUGACAUUUAGGGAAAUUAUACAGCCAUAUAAUGUAUACCUUAUAGUUGUAGUUCAGUGUGGGUUUUGCAAAGAAAGAAGUUAGGAAUUCAAUUCUAAAGAAAGGUGGUAGUAAUUACUCAUUUGAAUACAGUAGAGUCUCACUUAUCCAACACUCGCUUAUCCAACGUUCUGGAUUAUCCAACACAUUUUUGUAGUCAAUGUUUUCAAUACAUCGUGAUAUUUUGGUGCUAAAUUCGUAAAUACAGUAAUUACUACAUAGCAUUACUGCAUAUUGAACUACCUUUUCUGUCAAAUUUGUUGUAUAACAUGAUGUUUUGAUGUUUGAUUUGUAAAAUCAUAACCUAAUUUGAUGUUUAAUAGGCUUUUCCUUAAACCCUCCUUAUUAUCCAACAUAUUCACUUAUCCAACGUUCUGCCGGCCCGUUUAUGUUGGAUAAGUGAGACUCUACUGUACGUAUCCUACCUAAGUUCAUGCAUGAUUUAUGCAUGGUUUAUGGCUGUGGACAUGCACAACUGUAAGAGAAAUAGAAAAUUUGCCGGUAUUUACCUCCUGGUGGAAAGGAAGCAGAGAGGAGGCCAGCCAGACCUUCUGUGUAAAGGGGGUUCCACAGUCUGGGUGCAGCUAUGUACCUUUGGAGGUGAUAGGACCGAGGUUAAAUCCACCUGAUCAUAAAGGUUCUCUGCAUGGUGUACAGAACAUUACAAAUAUAAAAUAGAAAUAGAUAGACUGGACAUGGCUCAGAAUAAAAGCAAAUAGAAUCAGCAGCAAAAAAAUAAAACAUGACAGCCUGUAAAACCAAAUUAAUACUAGCAGUAAAAUAGACUAGUAGUAUGAUAUAAGGGCAAUAAAACAGUUCUUAAAAUGCAUUUGGAAGUUGAAAAGUUUUUCUUUCUGUGCAAAAAAGGCUGUAAUGUUGGUGCCAGGCAAGCGUCCAUUCUACAGGAAAGGUGCCAGGAGUGAAAGGCAUUUUCUUGUAGCUUCUGGCCCCAUUUCAGUUGAUGGAAGUACUGCAGAUGGAGACUAUGGGGAAUAAGAUACCUCAGUAAGGGAGAAGAUGUUUCUUUAGAUAAAAUGUCUUCAGGUUAUUCGGGGUUUUAAAGCCUGAAAUAGGCACUUUUAAUUGGGUCCAAAAAUGGACUGGCAGCCCAUAUAAAUGGCGAAAUAAUUUCAUAGUGUGAUCAUAUCAUCUUAUACCAAUGAGUAGUGAUUGAAUUUUCCAGACCAUUGCAGUUAUUCAAAGAAUAAUCUCUUACUAACAGGGAAUUUAGAUUGAUAUCUGUCAAAGUUUGGAGAAUGUGAGAACAUAACAGACAUUUCUAAAAUGAUGCGUGUUAUAGGGGAAGUGGCUAGAGAUAAUUUUCCCUCCAUCUUGGUUCUAGAACCUGGAGUCAUCCCGUGAAGCUUUUCCGUCAUAUUCAUGAUUGAAAAAGGGAAUUUUUUCACAUAGUGUAUAUAGUUAAUUUUAGAAUUUGCUACAAAGAUGUAAGGAUGUCACUAGUUUAAAGCCUUGAAAGAGAUAAUUACAAAUUCACAGAGUCAAAUCCUAUUGCUAGUCCGAACUAGAGUUGGUCUUUUGAUUUAUUGCUAAAUCAGAAUGUAUGCAAAACCAUUUGAUUCAGGGAAUCUGAUCUAGCCAGGACUAACAAUUGGGUUUAGCUCAUAAAAGAUAAGGACACAAUGGCUAUAUACUGACCAUAUGCAAUCUCCAAGUUCAGAGACAAUAUACCUCUGAAAUCCAGUUACUAGGGAAAAACAGAGGGAGGACUACUUUUCUCAUGUCUUGCCUUUAAUUUUGUUACACAUAUCUUGUGAAUCAACCUUCAAGGUGAAAUUGUUUCUGCGGUAUUUGCCGUCUAUUUUCAUUAUUCUGCUUUCUUUCACUAGGAUCUACUGGUAUAUUUGUAUAUAAAUGAAAUAUUACAACUCUCUGCUUGUCUUAUAUUAAAUACAAAUAUAAGCUCUGUACACUUGAUCCUGUAAUCUUUUGUGUGGAAGUAUGAUCCAAGUAACAAUAAGACUGGGACAUGUGAUCUUUUUGGCCUUGUUAUUCUAUAUUCAUAGUGUUCUCUUAGCUGUUCACAAGAUCGCUGAACACUGGGACACCUGCUGUGUCAAAUUGUCCUGAUCAAGAAAGUUCCUUCAUUAUUUUUCCUCUUCAGUUUUGUGAAUAAUUGAAUAGAUCUAUAUUGUUAUGGGUUUUGAAGGGGGAGCCUGGCCUACAAAUUCACUAACUACAGUACUUCAAUUAGCUGUUAAGAAUCUCUCUUCAAAUUAGACACAGCUUAGAGCCAUGAUUUAUAUCUAUGUAAUAUUUGCAUGUCUUGAGGGUACAAGAUUGAGUGGGUUUCAGAAUGUUCCAGUAAUUUACACAAAAAGGCUAUAUUAACAUUAGAAUCCAUCUGGUAAAGUAAUUAAAAGAUUUAAAUAUGGGAGGGAUACGUGAAAUUGCUGCAUUUUUAAUUAGAGAUUAUACAGUUUUGUGACUAGGGAUGGCUAUUAACCUUGGUUACAGCUAAAUAAAAAAGUCUGAAAAUUAUUAUUACCAAGCUCAUUUUGAGUUGUCCUUGUCAGAAUAUUGCCAGGUGCGAAGUACUGAAAUAGGAAGUAUUUUUGCAAUGCAUUCCCUCAUGGUCAUAUAACUAUUUCCAGCAUAUUAAAUACUACACUACUAUACUAGAUAUAUUUGUCUUCUCAUAGUCAGAUUUGUUGUACUUGUCCAUGGAUACCUAAUUGAUUAUGUUUAGCUGUCGAAGGGAUAAUUAACUGCAAAUCAGAUUAUAAAGUUUUUGCCAAUAGAAGCCAUGGUUAUUUCAAAGGCAUAAAAGGACCAUUCUGUGAAAAUAGUGAUAAGUUAUUAUUUCUUGCUAAAGUCUGAAUAACAUUGCCAUCCGCCUUAUCUAAGGAGUGUGUUCGUGUUUAGUUGUCCUUCCCAAAGUUUUGUAUACUUUCUAGGGGUUAUCAAGAAGAAUUCCAUUAAACUUGAAAUGUUUACCUUGACAAUUUUCCCCUGUGUCUUGAUGAAUGAAGCAUUUCGUAUGUGUAGCAUUUUGUAAAUGUAUGAUGCAGGCUUUAAAAAUAUGUAUACGUGUAUCUUUCUUUACAUCUGACUUUUCACAUGAUGCUUGUAGUAAUGAGAGUUCUUUAGCUCAAAGUAAAAAAAAGAAAACAAAAAAAUAUUGUGUACCUUUCAAAUUGAAAAAAAAAAUGACAACAUACACUAAUGGUACUCAGUGGUGCCCCUUGUAUAUGGCCCACAACAUUUGUAACCUGCAAAACAAAUUUACUAACUUACUGGCAUCUGCUAGAAAGACAUGGAGCUCUGUUCUUGCAACAGCCCCAUUGCAUAUUUAUGUUGCACAUGGAGGAGAGGGCUCACUUAGAUUCUGGCCAUAGAAAAAGGUCAAAGCAAUCUAUUUCUUCUUUGAUAUUUUGCUCACCCACCAUGGUUGCCAUGACAAUAUUUUUGGCUUAUUGCUAUCAGACUUGGGGCUAAAUACAAGGCAGAAAUUAUAUAGUCAGGUAUGUUGAUAUAAAUAUUAUAAUUAAAUAAACAAAUCAGAAAUAUUUAGUAAUUUGAUUUGUGGUGAUGCCUGCUCGUUGCUUGAAGAAAUUGAUCUACAACAUCUACAAUAUUCUAAAUUGGGUUUGUUUGUGUUCUAAUGCAGCAGAUUUAAAACCCCUUUACUGAAAUUCCAUCCUCAUGUAUCUCCAUAGAACAUAUUUUUGUGCCGAGUAUUUUGGCUUAAAAUGUAGAGCAGUGGCUGAUGAAGACAAUUGACACAGAGGUUCUUUUGUUUUGUUUUUUAAGAAAGGAGAUAAUAUUUUAUGAGACUUAAGGAAGCAAUUAAAAUGUGUUACAAUUAAUAAUAACUUUAAAACAUUUUUGAAAGUGUUAUUCAUUUAAUUUCAGUCAAUUAUGGCAAAGUGUAAAAUGUGCCAGUUAUUUUUUUCAAAAGGACACUGCACAAUAUUGAAAUUUUAGCAGAGACUGUAUCCAAGAAUAUCUUCACCCAGCUAAAGGAAGUUCUUCAAUUGGAAGGAUUUUUUUGAGCCACUGGCUCCAUACUGGCCCCAGAGCAACCAUGAUGACAGCCAGAUACAAUUGGCUGCAGAAAUUUCAUUGGCAUCUUGACCAGUUGUUCUCAACCUGUGGGUCCCCAGGUGUUUUGGCUUACAACUCCCAUAAAUCCCAGCCAGUUUACUAGCUGUUAGGAUUUCUGGGAGUUGAAGGCCAAAACAUCUGGGGACCUACAGGUUGAGAACCACUGAUCUAGACAGUCUAGCAGGACCGAGACCAUAACAGACCUGUUGGUCCAUCGCCUCAUCCUCUGUGUCACUGCUAGUCAUGGAGCUCCAUGUAACAGCCUGUGGGCUCAUGUUCUGUCUGUGAUGUCAUACAGGGUGUCUGCACGACCAGCAAAGAAGAUGUAGAUCAACCCCCUUUUCUUGCAGGUUGCGCAGCAUCCCAUUUUGACAUUGGCAGAUGCAACCAUGACAGUCAGGCAUUUGGACCGAGAUAAACCAUUCCACUGAGAUAAAUUUUGUUGAUGCCACGGGGAAUGCCUUGCAACAGCAGCUUCCCAUUGAGACAGCUAUUCUCUGUGCUCACUUUCCAUGUCACAGAUCCUAGAGUCUAUGCUAUACUGUGUGCUUUAAAGCAGAAAGGAAGACACACCUGAAAGCUGGCUAUUUUAAACAUGCUGAAAUACAAGAAAAGCUUGAGAGAUACACAGGCAAGCAAGCAGCAUAAGUCAGGCAAUUGUCUAUGCUAUGAUUGAUUAAAAAUCAUUAAAAGAAUGUGGUUGUAAUGUUUAGUUAAUUAAUUGGUUAAUUUAAUUAGUUAAAACAUUUUGAUUGACUAAAAUUGUGAUUGGUAAAAGCUGUUUUAAUGGAACCGUUCCUUCCUGCAUGACUUGGGUGGGGAGAGCCUUUCCUUUGAGGAGGAUGCCUGAUGUGAUAUACAGUCCCACUUCCAUCCAAAGAUUCUGUAUCCAUGGAUUCAAUCAUUCAUACCUUGAAAAUAAAUUACAAAAAAACAUUGAUUUAACUAUUCACAUAUAUAAAAGUCAAAGUAUGUAUGUAUAUAUAUUUGUUAGUACUAUAAAGGCUGCUACAUGUAGCAUGGCUUGAUGGAUCUGGACCAAACUUUGCACACAUAUCCUCCAUUACCCAACUUAAAAUAAUGGAGGGGCUUCAAGGAAAAAAAACACCCUUUGGGGCAAUGGUCCGCAAAAGUUAAAAAAAACCACGACAGUAUAUACUGUAUUUCAUUGAUUCUAAGACAAAAAUAAGAUCAGCAGCUAAAGUUGAGAGCAAGAGGAAAGCCAGCUGUCUUGGCCAACCCCUGGAAAGCAUUCCCAACCCACACCCGAUGCUGUCUCUUCCUCCUCCCAAACCCUGCACCUUCCUUUUGUGUUGCUGCUGCCAUCUUCCGCUGCUGAUCUGGGACUGCUACCUUUGCCCUGGUUUGUUUUGAAAGGAGAGGAUUGUAAGGCAGUUGCGGCUAAGAGAGUGCAGGAGGCACAUGGUCCCUCUUCCUCUCCCACCCUGUCCUGCAUGCUGCCAUCAGGAGUGGAGACCAGCAUUUAAGAAUUUAUUUAAAAUGGAAUUGUUUUCACCUUUCUCUGAGGCCGAGAGUGCGUCUCAAGGUUGGGAGAAUGUGACUCAGUGAAGAAAAUGAUUUCUAAUAACUAGCUUACGUACCUGGCAUUGCCAAAAUAUGCAUUUUGUAAUGGCAUUCAUUAGAAAUAUUCAAGUGUUAGUUUUACACUUUUAAGGUUUGUUCCAUUACAAAAUAUAUACCUGGGCAACACUAGGUACUUAAGCUAGUAUUAUAUAAGCAACAUAAUUUAACUAUGGCAUUGCAUUUAAUGGAACUUGAGCAUCCUUAAGUUUUGCAUGGAACAAAACCCAAGUAGAUGUGUAUUUAAUUUAUUUUUUUAAUUUAGCACUGUUUUUUUCUUUUAUGCAAAUUUUUGUAGAUUUAAUAAUGAACCAAAUGAAUUCACUAAAACCUCAUGUAAUUCAUCAAAUAAAUUAUAUUUUAAUUAUGUGAUAACCCUUCUAAAUACUGUGAUGUAGGGGUAUUGGCUGCAUGCUGCAUGACAUCACAUUUGCUAGAUGGAAACUCUUACAGUGGCAGUUUCCAGAUUGGCACUCCCUAGCCACAGAACAGUGGGUCCUCGCCAUAAUUCAGCACAAUUCCAAGAUAGAAUAUGAUUAUCUACCCCCAGAAAGAAUGUACCACAUCAUUUCUCUCUUUGCAUUAGAAGAUUGAAAGAAACUGUACAAUUUCACCUGCCAUUGGAGUAAGGAACCUGGAUUUCAGUAAGGCCUUCGACAAAGUCCCCCACGACCUUCUGGCAAACAAACUAGUAAAAUGUGGGCUAGACAAAACUACGGUUAGGUGGAUCUGUAAUUGGCUAAGCGAACGAACCCAAAGGGUGCUCACCAAUGCGUCGUCUUCAUCAUGGAAAGAAGUGACAAGUGGAGUGCCGCAGGGCUCCGUCCUGGGCCCGGUUCUGUUCAACAUCUUUAUUAACGACUUAGAUGAAGGGUUAGAAGGCACGAUCAUCAAGUUUGCAGACGACACAAAACUGGGAGGGAUAGCUAACACUCCAGAAGACAGGAGCAGAAUUCAAAACGAUCUUGACAGACUAGAGAGAUGGGCCAAAACUAACAAAAUGAAGUUCAACAGGGACAAAUGCAAGAUACUUCACUUCGGCAGAAAAAAUGGAAAUCAAAGAUACAGAAUGGGGGACGCCUGGCUUGACAGCAGUGUGUGCGAAAAAGACCUUGGAGUCCUCGUGGACAACAAGUUAAACAUGAGCCAACAAUGUGAUGCGGCUGCUAAAAAAGCCAAUGGGAUUCUGGCCUGCAUCAAUAGGGGAAUAGCGUCUAGAUCCAGGGAAGUUAUGCUCCCCCUCUAUUCUGCCUUGGUCAGACCACACCUGGAAUACUGUGUCCAAUUUUGGGCACCACAGUUGAAGGGAGAUGUUGACAAGCUGGAAAGCGUCCAGAGGAGGGCGACUAAAAUGAUUAAGGGUCUGGAGAACAAGCCCUAUGAGGAGCGGCUUAAAGAGCUGGGCAUGUUUAGCCUGCAGAAGAGAAGGCUGAGAGGAGACAUGAUAGCCAUGUACAAAUAUGUGAAGGGAAGUCAUAGGGAAGAGGGAGCAAGCUUGUUUUCUGCUGCCCUGCAGACUAUGACACAGAACAAUGGCUUCAAACUACAGGAAAGGAGAUUCCACCUGAACAUCAGGAAGAACUUCCUCACUGUGAGAGCUGUUCGACAGUGGAACUCUCUCCCCGGGGCUGUGGUGGAGGCUCCUUCCUUGGAGGCUUUUAAGCAGAGGCUGGAUGGCCAUCUGUCGGGGGUGCUUUGAAUGCGAUUUCCUGCUUCUUAGCAGGGGGUUGGACUAGAUGGCCCAUGUGGUCUCUUCCAACUCUACUAUUCUAUGAUUCUAUGAUUCUAUGAUAGGAGGAAGUUUUUAUUUCCAGCAUUCCAUUGUUCUCAAACAAGAAUAUGAUCUUCAAAUGGUCUUGCAUUUGAAAGAUAUCAGCAGUUUCAUCACCAUGAUAGUUUUAUCACACUAAUCUUAACCAACACCCUUCUAUUAUAGUGGAGGCUACUGCAUAUAAGCAUAUAAUCAUAAAAUCAUAGAAUCACAGAGUUGGAAGAGACCACAUGGACCAUCCAGUUCAAUCAAAGAACACAGCGUGGACAGAAAUUGUAGUAAAAAAACCAACCCAAAAAUCUGGGUAAACUUAUCCACAGGUCAAUAUGAGUACUGUGCCUUAAUACUUAUCAAGAAAAAAACCACCCCCUUCUCUUAGUAGAGUGGCAAAAGGCAAGAUCUUAGUCCAUCCCAGGAGAAUCUAAAAGAAGUACCAACUCUCUGUGCUCUCUCCUCCAUGGGACCGCUUCUGGCCUGUCUGAAAGGAAAUGCCAGUGAUGGGCAGGGGCAUCUGGUUUCCCUGAGAUGGCAUUAGUGCUUUCCCUCUCUGAGGAAUGACCUCGACUUAUCCACAGGAAUAUCAAAAUCCAUUUUUUGGCUCCAAAACCUGCCCUUCAACUUAUACAUGAAGUUGACUUAUAUAUGAGUAUAUAUGGUAGUUUGCCAUGGUAGAUUUUAAAAUGUCUAUUUUCAUGUGACCAUCUAUCCCUGACAUAGAAAAAUUCUCCUUUUCACAUAGAGGAAAAACUUGUUCCAAUUCUAAGUGCCGCCCUUUGGACUUCUGACAGCCACUUGAACGUUUUGAGUUGUAAUUACGAUUGUGGCGGCAGCACUUCAACAACAAAAGAUUGUCAUGGGCCACUUAGUGACCUGCUUCAGCCUCAUAUGUUCUGAAAGCUUCCUGUUUCCCAUAGAUUCUGUAUCAGCCCAAACAAAUUGUACCUCAUUUCUCCUCAAGGUUCUAUUUAUAGAGGCUUGCCUAUUUUCCUUCUAGCUAUGGCAGUUUUCCCAGCAGACAAGGCUUUACGGAUCCCCCUCUCACCGGUGAGGUAAACAUUGUAAUACUGUAUAAACCCAAACAUUUCUACAUCUUCUGAGCUUGGUUGCAGAGGGAUAGGAGUUUUAUAUCUCACUCUAUAUUGUGUGUUUGCAUUGAUGGUUUCUUCACUAAUAUUGACCAGGGGUGCUGAUUUUCUUGUCCUGAACAGAAAAGUGUGGGAAAAUGAUAUACUGUCACAAUUUUAUUUUACAUUUUGUGUUUUCCCCCUAAUUCAUUUCCAUAAAAAUGGGGGUUUUUAUAUAAAGAAAACAUUGUAUUUUAAACAAAAGAACUGUUUCCUGUGCAAAAACUCUGGGUGUUGUACAGUUUUUUUUUUACAAAUAUUCUGAAUAUUUGAAAAAAUAUUACAAAGGCACAAAAACCUUGGUAAUUUUGUCUAGUGCAAAGAAAAGAUUUGAACUUGGAAUAAGAAUGCAUUGAGCAAAAUGAGUGUCCAUGCUACUGAUUCAACAAAGGUUGCUUGAAUUUUUGUUUGACUCUGUCAGAGUGAGUUUGGUUGAUGAGCACUUCUAGUUUUAUAGAAAACACAUCUUGCAUACGUGUGUGACUAAUUGUUUUAUUACAGAGGUUUGCCAGAUGGGUGGUGAAAAAUAUCUGCUUGGCUAAAUUGUCCUUAUCUGAGCAAACUCAUAUUUGUUCCUCUAUUACCUUCUAAAAGGUCUCAAUUCUCAUUUGGCCCUAUUGUAUGGACA